AGCGCGGGGGGGUUAGGGUCGCCCCGCCCCGCCCCCGCGGGAAGGUGGCGGCGGCCGCGCACCUGCGGCGGUGACGGACGGACGGACGGACGGACAGACGCGGGGCGGGAGCGCCGGCAGAAGCGGCCCGACGGGGCGCCCCCCUCACCUCUGCCGCGCACCGGCAAGGGGCGGACAACAGCCGCCCCGUGUGGAGAGGGGUGGCUGACAAACUUUAGGAGAGUCACCCCCGCGUGGGCGGGGGCUGCUCUGCGGUGCCCCAUGCGGUAAAGUUUUCCACGCGAGAAGGUUUCCGCAGAGCAGUGUCGGAGCCCCAGGGUGCGCCUCUUUCUCGCGUAAAGCAUCGGGCGGUGGAGCAAACCCGCGUUUGCGGACGCUGUCGCCCCACGCGGGUCACAAACUUUAGGAGGCACGGUCCCGCGGCCGCCCAGCCCGCCGCACGGCGUCCCUCGCCCCGCUCAGUGGCACCGGCUCCGCCGCGCGUCGCGGGGCUGUCAGCAGGAGCCGCGCGGGCAUUUUCCACGUGGGAGGCAGGAAAUAAACAUGAAAUCGAGCAUCAGGUUGCGGCGCGUGGAACAACCGGUGGUACUGAGACACGGGUCUUCGGUGCUGCCGGCCCCGGGCCCCUGCGCAGCACGACCCGAGUUUAGGUCAACUUAACCCUGUCCCAUCCCGCUCCCGACCGGCUCGUAGUGGGGGAAAAAAAAAAAAAAAAAAAAAAAAAAGAUUAAAGAAACCUACAAAAGUGGAUCGCGGCAGGUCUGGGCUGCUAUCCGGACCGAAACCUGUCGGGCGCGCUCUGUCCCGCCUGACCGCGGCUUUCCGCGGCUCGGGACAGGGAGCAUCCGCACCCCUGCCCCGGCUGCUGAGAUUUUCCCGGCCGCUGCCGGCGAGGACGCGAGGCUGAACGAGGGGAAACAGCCUCAGGCUUGCGGACAGCGGGGGAUACACCAGGGAGAGGGAAUAACGUCCUGCGGAGGCCCGGGCAGCAGCGGAGCGCUGCAGGGCGCUCGGCGACAGGGUGGGCCAGAAGAUUACUUUGGAGCUCAUGUAAGUGACACUCCAAGGAUUGGCCAGCAGCAGGUUCAGCGGCCCCAGCCCCCGGAGCCGUGGGAUGUCAUCUCUGACAUGCCUGGAAACCCCAGCUCAUCCCUCAACUGUCCAGUUACAGCAGCAUCUCCGUCAUGUUGCACUUCCAGUCUGUCACUGGCAUGGGUUCAUGCUCCUCUCCCGGGAAGCCUGCUCGCUUUUGCUGAGGACUGUGUUUUUAUUUUUAACACAGAGUCCUUUACAUCAGCGCCACUGAGGGUUUCUUUUGCAGGAUGGGAUUCUGCCGUAGGAGGGAACGGCUGGGGAUCCUACACCAAAUGUGCCUGCAUGUGCUAAGAGGGGAGCUGUGCAUUAAAGCACGCUCUUUUUUCCAUCCUUCUGUGGGAAGGAGUUUUUGGGUGAUCUCUGCCUGCCUGGAAGGGAGGGGUUGUCCCAGCAGCUUCGCCCCACACCAGUCACCUGGUCCCCAGAGCCCAGGAUGCUCCUGGUGGGGGAACACAGCCAGAGUGCUCCCACCAGCUGUAGCCAGACAUUAUGGCUCGUGCUGGAGGGACUCGCUGCCGGCACCGUAAUUGCAGGCUAGCUGGAUUUUUGCUGUGGUAUUACAAAUUCCCCCAGGGAAGCCCACAGCUAUGACCAUUUUCAUGGUAACAUUGUCAGGCAUGAGUCAUUUUCUUCCCUCUCUGUCUCUGUUUGUCCUCUCUCUCACACACACACACACUCAAAAAUGCAAGGACAAAUCAACAAACCGGUAAAUAAAAUGUAAAUGUUGCUUUAGUGCA
ensembl:lncRNA